GACGAACGCUGGCGGCGUGCUUAACACAUGCAAGUCGAACGGUGAAGCGCCUUCCUUUUUGGUGGGUGUGGAUGAGUGGCGAACGGGUGAGUAACACGUGAGUAACCUGCCCCCUUCUUCUGGAUAACCGCAUGAAAGUGUGGCUAAUACGGGAUAUUCUGGGUCUGUCGCAUGAUGGGUCUGGGAAAGAUAUUGUUUCGGUGGGGGAUGGGCUCGCGGCGUAUUAGCUUGUUGGUGAGGUGAUGGCCUACCAAGGCGGCGGUGCAUAGCCGGCCUGAGAGGGUGAUCGACGGUCAGAGUAGGAAUGCGCGGUCGAGCAGACUCCGACAGGAGGCAGUAGGGAGGAAUAUGGAACAGGGGGAGGCAGGCUGGUGCAGCGCCGCGGCGUGAGGGAUGGAGGCCUGAUGGUUGUGAACCUCUUUCGGCAGUGAAGCAAGCCUGCCUCGUUUGUGCGUGGCUUGACGGUAGCUGGACAAGAAGCGCCGGCUAACUACGUG
rnacentral:rRNA from 1 species